rnacentral:rRNA from 1 species
UACGUAGGGUGCGAGCGUUAAUCGGAAUUACUGGGCGUAAAGCGUGCGCAGGCGGUUUUGUAAGCCAGAUGUGAAAGCCCCGGGCUUAACCUGGGAAUGGCAUUUGGGACUGCAAGGCUCGAGUGCGGCAGAGGAGACUGGAAUUCCUGGUGUAGCAGUGAAAUGCGUAGAUAUCAGGAGGAACACCGAUGGCGAAGGCAGCCCCCUGGGCUAACACUGACGCUCAGGCACGAAAGCGUGGGGAGCAAACAGG